UGACCCCGGAAGUAUUCUCCCCUGACCCCGGAAGCACUUCCUGGGGCUCCUAUGAGGCUGGGGCCUGGGAAUGAGCCACCCGCCUGCCCCUACCCCCAGGUCUCUUGAGGGGAUGACGGCCUGGCUUUUCUACCUGUGGCUGUCCAGACCUGCGGCUGGCUCACUGCUCUGAGACAGGUUCCUGAUGUCCUCAUUCCUUGACCGUCAGUGGUGUCACCCCCAUCCCCAGGGGAAGCCAACUGCCCGGAGGUUCUGCCUGCUCCUCCCCAGCCCAGCGUCCAGCCCCCUUGGGACUUCCAGGAAGGCCUCAGCUCCAUCCCCAUGUCCCAUCCCUCUUCCUGCUGGUUUUGUUCACUGCUUAGCACCUACAGCCGUGCCUGCAGGCGGCAUAAUGAACAUUUGUUAGAUGAUUGGAGGCACUGCAUCCUUCACACGCCGGCUGAGCUCCAGUUGCCUGGAGGCGCUGUCAAAUGCAGAGGCUUCUGAGGGCUGCCUGCUGCCCACCCUGGGGCGAGCAAAGGCAUCCCAGAGGCAGGACUGUGCGGACAGCAAGCGCUUGGCGGGACUGUGGGCAGUUCAGACGCAGCACUCAGCAGCGCCCCCGGCUGGUCAGCACGGUCACCUGCGCCUCCUUCUAGGGAAGAUGAGCUCCCCGGGGCUGGCAGCGCUGUGGGCUCUGGUUUUACAGCUCAGGACUUCAGCCUGUGGCCUCCGCGGAAGCAGAGCACGCGCUGUGGCUUCUCCGAUUCCUCUUCACUCAAUGAGGCUCGCAGAAUGCAGAGCAGCGGCGCGCUUCAACCCCAUACCGAAAGCUUCAGUACCGUGGCCAGGAGGCGGAAUAAAAGAAGGAAAACCCGAGACAGACUAGGUGUCGGUGUGCGAGGGCUGCCCAGGACCCACAGAACAGCUGAGAAGCAAGAAUACUUCUUUCUUCUCUUUCCCUCCCUUUCUUUUUUCAGUAUUAGGAAUUAAACCCAGGGCCUUCAUACCGAGCUACAUCCCUGGCCCUAAAACUUUUUAUUUGAGUCAGGGUCUCUCUAAAUUGCUGUGUUGCCCCAGCUGGACUCGAACUUGGGACCCUCCUGCCUCAGCCUCCCAGAGCAUUGGGAUUACAGGUGCGCAGCACCGCACCCAGGUUCUGUUUUCCCUUUUGUUAUCAGUUCGGGGUGGAUUUCCUCUGCACUACAGACACGCUCACCUCCAGCCUACUGAUUUUAACACCAUAAAGAGGUUGCCGCCAUCCUUACUUUUUGGGCUUUAAUGAGCUAAAUUCUUUUGCUCGGUGACUGGAAUCUUUUCACUGAGCCCAAGGUGAAGGCAUGCAGGUGUAAAUAUCUUUAAAAUAGUUCAAUCCUUGCAAAUGUAUUCUGCACUGCCCGCCCCGAAGUCUGAUAUUUA
rnacentral:lncRNA from 1 species